rnacentral:rRNA from 1 species
UACGGAGGGGGCUAGCGUUGUUCGGAAUUACUGGGCGUAAAGCGCACGUAGGCGGACCAUCAAGUUGGGGGUGAAAUCCCGGGGCUCAACCCCGGAACUGCCUUCAAAACUGUCGGUCUGGAGGUCGAGAGAGGUGAGUGGAAUUCCGAGUGUAGAGGUGAAAUUCGUAGAUAUUCGGAGGAACACCAGUGGCGAAGGCGGCUCACUGGCUCGAUACUGACGCUGGAGGUGCGAAAGCGUGGGGAGCAAACAGG